GGUAGCUCGUCGGGCUCAUAACCCGAAGGUCGGAGGUUCAAAUCCUUCUCCCGCAACCA
rnacentral:tRNA from 1 species